rnacentral:rRNA from 1 species
UACGAAGGGGGCUAGCGUUGCUCGGAAUCACUGGGCGUAAAGCGCACGUAGGCGGAUUGCUAAGUCAGGGGUGAAAUCCUGGAGCUCAACUCCAGAACUGCCCUUGAUACUGGCGGUCUCGAGUCCGGGAGAGGUGAGUGGAACUGCGAGUGUAGAGGUGAAAUUCGUAGGUAUUCGCAAGAACACCAGUGGCGAAGGCGGCUCACUGGCCCGGUACUGACGCUGAGGUGCGAAAGCGUGGGGAGCAAACAGG